AACGAACGCUGGCGGUGCGUUUUAAGCAUGCAAGUCGAACGGCAAGGAAGCGAAUUUUCGUUUCUCUAGAGUGGCGGACUGGUGAGUAACGCGUGGGUAAUCUGCCUUUGAGAUGGGGAUAGCCUCUAGAAAUAGGGGGUAAUACCGAAUACGCUCUUUUGGACGUAGGUCUUUGAGAGGAAAGGGGCUGCGGCCUCGCUCAGAGAUGAGCCUGCGACCCAUUAGCUUGUUGGUGGGGUAAUGGCCUACCAAGGCGUCGAUGGGUAUCCGACCUGAGAGGGUGACCGGACACACUGGGACUGAGAUACGGCCCAGACUCCUACGGGAGGCAGCAGCUAAGAAUAUUCCGCAAUGGGCGAAAGCCUGACGGAGCGACACCGCGUGGAUGAGGAAGGUCGAAAGAUUGUAAAGUUCUUUUGCCGACGAAGAAUGAGGACGGGAGGGAAUGCCCGUUUGAUGACGGUAGUCGUGCGAAUAAGCCCCGGCUAAUUACGUGCCAGCAGCCGCGGUAACACGUAAGGGGCGAGCGUUGUUCGGAAUUAUUGGGCGUAAAGGGCAUGCAGGCGGACUGGUAAGCCUGGUGUGAAAUCCCCGAGCUCAACUUGGGAACUGCACUGGGUACUGCUGGUCUAGAAUCACGGAGGGGAAACCGGAAUUCCAAGUGUAGGGGUGGAAUCUGUAGAUAUUUGGAAGAACACCGGUGGCGAAGGCGGGUUUCUGGCCGAUGAUUGACGCUGAGGUGCGAAGGUGUGGGGAGCGAACA
rnacentral:rRNA from 1 species